GUAUCUUGUAGCUCAAUGGUUAGAGCGUCCGACUGCUGUGCGGAAGGUCACGGGUUCGACUCCAGCUGGUAAAACA
rnacentral:tRNA from 1 species